rnacentral:rRNA from 1 species
GAUGAACGCUGGCGGCGUGCCUAAUACAUGCAAGUCGAGCGAACGGACGAGAAGCUUGCUUCUCUGAUGUUAGCGGCGGACGGGUGAGUAACACGUGGAUAACCUACCUAUAAGACUGGGAUAACUUCGGGAAACCGUAGCUAAUACCGGAUAAUAUUUUGAACCGCAUGGUUCAAAAGUGAAAGACGGUAUUGCUGUCACUUAUAGAUAGAUCCGCGCUGCAUUAGCUAGUUGGUAAGGUAACGGCUUACAAAGGCAACAAUGCAUACCCGACCUGAGAGGGUGAUCGCCCACACUGGAACGGGAACAGGGUCCAGACUCCUACGGGAGGAAGCAGUAGGGAAUCUUCCGAAAUGGGCGAAAGCCUGACGGAGCAACGCCGCGGGAUGGAUGAAGUUCUUCGGAUCGUAAAACUCUGUUAUAAGGGAAGAACAUAUGUGUAAGUAACUGUGCACAUCGUGACGGUACCUAAUCAGAAAGCCACGGCUAACUACGUG